rnacentral:rRNA from 3 species
AAAGGUUUGGUCCUGGCCUUAUAAUUAGUUAGAGGUAAAAUUACACAUGCAAAAAUCCGUAAACCAGUGUCAAAUCCCCUAAAGCUUUAUUCAAAACCUAGGGAGAGGGCAUCAAGUACAUACAAUAUAGCUAAA